AGACCUAUCUAUCGGCCUUUUGGCUAAGAUCAAGUGUAGUAUCUGUUCUUAUUAGUUUAAUAUCUUUCAGUUUUUUAAAAAAAGAUGUAUUUAUUUAUUUGAAAGGCAGUUGUAGAGAGAGAGGGAGAGACGGAGAAAGAGAAAGAGAUCUUCUAUACCCUAGUUCCCUCCCUCUGGCUGAAACCAGAAGCCAAG